rnacentral:rRNA from 1 species
UGCCUAACACAUGCAAGUCGAACGAGAAAGUCCUUCGGGAUUAGUACAGUGGCGAACGGGUGAGUAACACGUGAGUAUCUGCCUUUUGGUGAAGAAUACCUUCGAGAAAUCGGAGUUAAUGCUGCAUAAGUCGCUGUAAAAAGCGGGAAAGACGGCCUAAUAGCUGUCGCCGAAAGAUGAGCUCGCGUCCUAUUAGUUAGUUGGUGGGGUAAAGGCCUACCAAGACAAAGAUGGGUAGCCGGCCUGAGAGGGUGUACGGCCACAUUGGGACUGAGAUACGGCCCAGACUCCUACGGGAGGCAGCAGUGGGGAAUAUUGCGCAAUGGACGAAAGUCUGACGCAGCGACGCCGCGUGAGGGAUGACGGUCUUCGGAUUGUAAACCGC